CAGUAGCCACGGGAAUACGGAGGGAGCUAGCGUUGUUCGGAAUUACUGGGCGUAAAGCGCACGUAGGCGGCUUUGUAAGUUAGAGGUGAAAGCCUGGAGCUCAACUCCAGAACUGCCUUUAAGACUGCAUCGCUUGAAUCCAGGAGAGGUGAGUGGAAUUCCGAGUGUAGAGGUGAAAUUCGUAGAUAUUCGGAAGAACACCAGUGGCGAAGGCGGCUCACUGGACUGGUAUUGACGCUGAGGUGCGAAAGCGUGGGGAGCAAACAGGAUUAGAUACCCCUGUAGUCCCUGUCUCUUAUAC
rnacentral:rRNA from 1 species